rnacentral:lncRNA from 1 species
CUUAGUAGCCACCAACUUCACACCAAUUAGGUUAUUAUAAACAGCUAAGGGCAUGACAUUAAUAGAAGCUCCUAGAUCACACAUAGCAUGCUCAAUCUUAGUAUCACCGAUGAAACAUGGCAGAGAAAACAUACCUGGAUCCUUGCAUUUGGGCGGCAACUCUUUUCGUAUCACUGCUGACACGUUCUCGCCCAUCACAAUCUUUCCAGAUUUCUUAGACUUUCCAUCGAUGAAGUCCUUCAAAAACUUGCUCAGAUGAGGGAGUUGAGUGUUUGGAGGAAAGGAAGAUUAAUCUCCAACUUUUCAAANAUCAAUUACUUGGCCAGAAGACUCACAAAACUCAACAUAAACUGACUCAACAAAGCAAAGACUCAAAGACGCCCCCCUCACACUUAAAUUUUGCUUGCCCUCAAGCAAACAAAAUAAAGUAUAAGCAAAGAAGCAAACGAGACACACAACGAAAAGAGAACAAGGUAAAAACAACACAAACACACGAAACAAAGCAAGACAAGGAAGGAAGUCACCGUGUGCGCUGCCGCCGUAGCUCGUGCUGAAUGGUGGCGCUCAAGUUCGCAAUGCUCUCCUGUAAGGCUGCCACGUUCCCAUAAUCCACUGCUGCGUCACCUGAUAUUAUUAUUAUUAUUAUUAUUAUUUUAAGAAACUUUAACAAAGAUUAAAUCUAAAGAAAGGGAAUUAAAACUGAAAGAAAAACUGAACGAAACGGAAAUAAAGAAAAAGAAAAACAAAAUGGGAGAAACAAAGAGAAAGAAAUCGGGUUGCCUCCCGAUAAGCGCCAUUAUUUAAAGUCUUUGGCUAGACUAUUGAUGCAAUCAGAAUCUCGUCUGAGGUGACAAUGGAAUUUCUUCCACUGUUGUCAUAUGAGAUGCAUCGCAAUAUGGCUCCAACUUGUAAUAGUUGACUACAAACGUCUUUGCUGUAGCCAAACUCUUAAUCUCCACCGAUCCGCCUGGCCAAACAGACUGUAUCUCAAAAGGACCUAUCCAUUGCCUUCCAAGCAUGAAUCGGACCUUUUCACCGACUUCAAAUGUUCUCCAGAAUCGAUGCUUGUGAUAAGCUAUCGCUAUUAGAUCUGCAUACCCCAUGUUGGUAUUAUAGGCUUCCAAACGGAGCUCCUCCUCACACUUAUCUUUUAAGUCAGGUGGUUCCACAUUAAAAUGCAGAGUUCUAUAACGUGGCUUCCGUCUGGGCAAACGAACCGUAUGUCCACCUUGAAUUUCGGGUUCUAUGACGUGUUUUCCGUUUGGGCAAACAGAACGUAUUUCUAGAAUCUGCCAAUUUCGAGUGAGCAUGGAGAGACUUGGUAGAUUCUUUGACUUCUUCAUUGUUCAUCCCACGAGCAUCAAGACCAGUUGCUCUUUUGAUCAAGGUCGGUUCCAACUUGUCCUGCACAGAUUUAGUCUCAAGAUGUUCUUGGACAGAAGGGUCAGUAAUGUUAGUGGCACAAACAGUUUUAACAACAAGAGGAUUUUUCAUGGUAUCAUCAAUAUUGAAAGUGAACUUCUCUCCAUGAUAAUCCAAACAUAUGGUGCCACUAUAAACAUCAAUGAUUGCCCUAGUGGUCCUUAAGAAAGGACGACCUAACAGAACACCGGCUGACUCUUUCGACUGCAUACCCUUCAUUUUCACCACAUAAAAGUCAGCAGGAUAAACAAAAUCAUGCACCUUUACAAGAACAUUCUCUAGAAGACCCUCAGGAUGAACACGUGACCCAUCAGCCAACUGAAUCACCACCUUAGUAGCCACCAACUUCACACCAAUUAGGUUAUUAUAAACAGCUAAGGGCAUGACAUUAAUAGAAGCUCCUAGAUCACACAUAGCAUGCUCAAUCUUAGUAUCACCGAUGAAACAUGGCAGGGAAAACAUACCUGGAUCCUUGCAUUUGGGCGGCAACUCUUUUCGUAUCACUGCUGACACGUUCUCGCCCAUCACAAUCUUUCCAGAUUUCUUAGACUUUCCAUCGAUGAAGUCCUUCAAAAACUUGCUCAGAUGAGGGAGUUUGAGUGCUUGGAGGAAAGGAAGAUUAAUCUCCAACUUUCCAAAUAUCUUCAUGAAGUCAUUGAUCUCUUCCUCAGGCUUCUUCCUUGCUAACCUUCUUGGGAAAGGUACUGGUGGCACAAACUUAGGAUCGCGGAGGCUCAGUAUUGGUUCCUCCUUGGUCGAAUCAUCUUCAACACUUUCUCGUUCUGCCUCCCUUCCUUUCUGCACAGCUUCGGACUUACCGUUCUGUUUGGGCAAACGAGACGUAUUUCCAGAUUGACCUCCAGUGAGCACUAGUUCUUCAGAAUCGUUCUGUUUGGGCAAACAGUUGCUCUCGCCAGAUUCGCCUUCUCGAGCUUUUUCCACUUUCUUGAUUGGUGGUUCAUCCAAUUCUUUGCCACUUCUCAAGGUGAUCAAGU